GACUCUCGGCAACGGAUAUCUCGGCUCUUGCAUCGAUGAAGAAUGGAGCAAAAUACGAUACUUAGUGUGAAAUGCAGAAUCCCGUGACCCAUCGAGUCUUUGAACGCAAGUUGCGCCCGAGGCCACUCGGCCGAGGGCACGCCUGCCUAGGCGUC
rnacentral:rRNA from 1 species